UACAGAGGGUGCGAACGUUGUUCGGAAUUACUGGGCAUAAAGAGCACGUAGGCGGCACCGCAAGUGUGGGGUGAAAUCCCACGGCUUACCCGUGGAACUGCCUGGCAGACUGCGGUGCUAGAGGUUGGUAGGGGAGAGCGGAACUCUUGGUGGAGCGGUGAAAUGCGUAGAUAUCAAGAGGAACACCGAUGGCGAAGGCAGGUCUCUGGGCCGCAACUGACGCUGAGGAGCGAAAGCAUGGGGGAGCGAACAGG
rnacentral:rRNA from 1 species